UGGGGAAUAUUGUCCAAUGGGGGAAACCCUGAGACAGCGAUGCCGCGUGAGUGAAGAAGGCCUUCGGGUUGUAAAACUCUGUCGUAAGGGACGAAAAACAAAAGACUAAUAAUCUUUUGGUUGACGGUACCUUGCAAGAAAGCUCCGGCUAACUACGUGCCAGCAGCCGCGGUAAUACGUAGGGAGCGAGCGUUGUCCGGAGUGACUGGGCGUAAAGAGCACGUAGGCGGUCUGAUAUGUCGGAUGUGAAACCCCUGAGCUUAACUCAGGGCCUGCAUCCGAAACUGUUAGACUUGAGUACAGGAGAGGAAAGCGGAAUUCCUAGUGUAGCGGUGAAAUGCGUAGAUAUUAGGAGGAACACCAGUGGCGAAGGCGGCUUUCUGGACUGGAUCUGACGCUGAGGUGCGAGAGCUAGGGGAGCGAACAGG
rnacentral:rRNA from 1 species